AGGGAAUAUUGGUCAAUGGAUGGAAGUCUGAACCAGCCAUGCCGCGUGCAGGAAGAAGGCCUUCUGGGUUGUAAACUGCUUUUGCCAGGGGAUAAAAUACCCAUGCGUGGGGAAUUGCAAGUACCUGGUGAAUAAGCCACGGCUAACUACGUGCCAGCAGCCGCGGUAAUACGUAGGUGGCGAGCGUUGUCCGGAUUUAUUGGGUUUAAAGGGUGCGUAGGCGGCCUAUUAAGUCAGUGCUGAAAUACCCCGGCUCAACCGGGGGGGUGGCAUUGAUACUGAUGGGCUUGAGUACAGAUGAGGUAGGCGGAAUUGACGGUGUAGCGGUGAAAUGCAUAGAUAUCGUCAAGAACACCUAUAGCGAAGGCAGCUUACUAAGCUGUAACUGACGCUGAGGCACGAAAGUGUGGGGAUCAAACA
rnacentral:rRNA from 1 species